CAGCAGCCGCGGUAAUACGGAGGGGGCUAGCGUUGUUCGGAAUUACUGGGCGUAAAGCGCACGUAGGCGGCUUGGUAAGUUAGAGGUGAAAGCCUGGAGCUCAACUCCAGAAUUGCCUUUAAGACUGCCGAGCUAGCAGGUGAGAGAGGUAAGUGGAAUUCCGAGUGUAGAGGUGAAAUUCGUAGAUAUUCGUAGGAACACCAGUGGCGAAGGCGGCUUACUGGCUCAUACUGGACGCUGAGGUGCGAAAGCGUGGGGAGCAAACAGGAUUAGAUACCCGCGUAGUCCCUGUCUCUUAUAC
rnacentral:rRNA from 1 species